AGGGGGUUGGGGAUUUAGCUCAGCGGUAGAGCGCUUGCCUAAGAAGCGCAAGGCCCUGGGUUCGGUCCCCAGCUCUGAAAAAAAGAACCAAAAAAAAAAAAAUCUUCUGAAAGAUAAAAGACUCACGUGACAGACCCAACCUGCACACAUUCUAUUACUCUGUAAUAGAGAGUUUUCCUUUCCUCCCUGUCUUUGACAGGAUUUCUUUCUAUAGCUCUGGCUGUCCUGGAACUCACUCUGUAGACCAGACUGGCCUUGAACUUACAGAUACGCCCCUGCCUCUGCUAGAAUUAAAAGUGUGUGCCACCACCGCCUUGCUCAUUAAAAUUACUAAUUUUUAGAUUUCAUUUUGAUUUUAUGUGCACAUUUUGCCUGCAUGUAUGUCUGUGUGAGCAAAUGGAUCCUCUGGAACCAGAGCUACAGACAGUAGCUGCCAUGUGGGUGCUGGGGUUGAGCAUAGGUUCUCUGGGAGAGCAGCCAGUUCUCUAACUGCUGAGCCGUCUCUGUCUCUAUGGCAGGUCAGGAAUAGCUCAUGGGAAAUGUUCUUGAGGCUGGAGAAUAAAACCUUUGGAGUCUGGCCCUGGGUUUCCUAUCUCUGGAAGCAAAGUGAAGGAGCACUGUUCCCAGGACAAAGGCCUGUGGUGUCUGAGGUGAAGGGCUGCUGGUGCCAUCAGAGACUCUCGUUCAUUCAGACUGUGUUGACAGAUGUGUGAACACCCGCCAUGUGCAGGUACCAUCAGGAGAAACAGAGAGAUGAUUCCAGAGAUCCAGGAGCAUACAGGGUCCUGAGAGGGACACACACCAGACACUAUGUCACUGGGAUGUGCUAAGGACUAAGACAAAGAAUAACAAGGUUCCACGGAGGCAGAGAGCAGGAGCACUUGGCCUCCCUUUAGGGAAGGCAUGUGGAAGGCUGGUGCUUAAGUAGUCUAAAACCACAGUGGCUUUAAUCAGGCAUUGAAGGACACUUUCUUACAGGGUUAGAGACUCUGUAUUAAUAACAUUAGAACAGGUUUGCUAAUAAGUUAGAUUUAUACAUCUAAUAAAUAGUUAAAACUGUCCACUAAACUACACAGGAAAUGUGUACUUUCUUACCUAAGGUCUUACUUUAAACUUCCUCUAGCCAUAAGACCUCUGCCUACGGUGUUGUCUGUUCAGUGCUCACUCAGACAGUGCAGACUUAGUGCAGCUCCAGAAGAUCCAAUGCAUCUGGCCUGCACAGGAGCCUGUACUCAUGUGCAAUACCUACACACACCAAAGAAGCAGUUGCAGUGCUGGAGGGAUGGAUGGCUCAGUGCUUAGUGCACAGGACUCUUGCAGAGGGCUGAGUUCAAGUGCCAGAACUCAUUCUGGACAGUUCAUAGCAGUAACCCCAGCACCAUAGGCUCCGGCAGGCAACUGCAACUCACACGCACAUCUUCCACUCAUAUACACAUAAUUCUAAAUAAAAAUAAAGGCAUCUUUUUGUUUGUUUGUUUUUUGAGACCGGGUUUCUCUGUGUAGCCCUGGCUGUCCUGGAACUUACUCUGUAGACCAAGCUGUCUUCAAACUUAGAGACUCACCUGCCUCUGCCUCCUUAGUGCUGGGUUUCAAGACAUGUGUGAUUACACUAAUUUUCUCUGGUUCUCUGUGGACUUAUAAGAGUAGAUAUUUGGAAGGUGGCAAGAUGGCUCACCAGGUGUGAUGCUUAGUUUUGGGUUUCUUACAAUUACUUGUUUAUUGUGUGUAUAUUAGAGUACGUAUGUAUGUGAGGGUCAAAAGGUAACUUAAAGUCCUGGGGACAUCAAGCUCAGGCUAUCACAUUUGGUGGCAAAAGCUUUUUCUCAUAGGCUCAUUUUGCUGGCCCUGAUGUUUAGUUCUGAUUGUCAACUUGUUAUAGUCCAGAAUCAUUUGGAAAAAUUCUCAGUGAGAUAAUAUUUAGAUUAGGUUGGCCUAUGGACAUGCUCAUGAGGGAUUUUCUGUAAUUGCGGUGGCUUGAAUGUGAAAAUACUGUUCCCUAGGCUUGGGUCUUGGACCACAUAGAUGGCUGAGCAGAAUCAUGCACACAUUCAUUCUCUGGCUGUUGGGUGUUUUUGGGGAGGGUUGCAGAGACUCACGAGGAGGCACCUGUCUGCCUCCCAAGUGCUAGAAUUACACUGUGCGCCCGCCAGCGCUCUCCCUGCUCUUUACUGUGGACAUAACUAGCGGCUUUGACUCCUGCCCUGAGUUCCAUGAAGUCGUGGACUAGAACCAGGGAUUGAGAGCACAUAGAACUUUUCUCCCUUAAAGUUGGUUUGUCAGGGUGAGUCGUCACAGCAACUAACGGAAAACUGACACAAGCAGGUACAGUCUUAUCCCCAAGCCUGAGGACCUGGAUUUGACCUCUCAAACUGACCGGGUAGAAGCCGCCUUCUGAUUUCCACAGGUGUGUCCUCCCCCACCUCUCAAUAAACUGAAUUAAAAAAAAAUGUAAAGAAGUAUACCUGGGAAGGUCCUCAGUGAAUGCUGACAGAGGAGCGCUGACUUUAGAAAGAACCUCGGCAAACAUCUCACUGCUCUUGGCAGUAAGAUGUCUAGACACCUAAGCCAGUGAGUGGCCCAUGACAGCACAGAGCCCACAAACUCCUUCUGCAGGGCUGCUAGUUUACAUAAAUGACAGAAACCGAGCAUUUAGCCAACAAAGGUUUCUAAAGGCACUCUUAAAAUCGCUUAUAAUUCAGGAAAUCGGCAAAGAUUAAAAACAGCAUUAACUGCCUUACUUUGUUGCUUAAAAGCACAUGCAAAAUAAGCAGUGCUCCCAACCACCAAUAAUCCGCUUCACAGAAGCUGUCUCGAAGCCUCCAUCUGGAUAAUUAAAACUUCCCUGCUCUUCUCUCUAACUCUGGAGCGACUGGAAGCCAGUAAACUCUACUGUAUUGGGAUAAACAAUUCAAUUCACCACCAAGAAAGGAGUCUGGUGACAACUCCAAAACACACGUCACACCUUGGCUACACUGGGUGAGUACAGGGCCUGUCCGUGCUCACUACAUCUGCCUACUGAGAUCUGUGCAGACCUUUAUAAUGAAGCCUCCAGAUACUUCUAUGGAGCAUCGUCACAGGGAGUGUGCUUUAAUUUUUUUCUUACUUUAAGAUUUAUUUAGGGGCUGGGGAUUUAGCUCAGUGGUAGAGCGCUUACCUAGGAAGCGCAAGGCCCUGGGUUCGGUCCCCAGCUCCGAAAAAAAAAGACCCCCCCAAAAAAAAGAUUUAUUUAUUUUUAUUUUAUAAGCAUGAGCAUUUAGCCUGCAUAUAUUCUGGGUAUCACGUGACUGUUUGGGGCCAGAAGAGGCCAGAGGAGGGUGCUGGGAAUUAAACCUAGGCCCUCUGGAAGAACAAGUGCUCUUCACUGCUGAGCCGUCUCUCCAGCCUCCUGUAAGCAUUUCUUGAUAUCUCAGUUUUCUUUCUCCAGUCUAAGGUAAGGUUGGCCAGGUCCCUUAGUGACUCUGAAACACAGUACUUUGGUUACUUUUCUACCGCUGUGAUAAGACACCAUGACUGAGGUAAUUUAUAGAAAAUAAGUGUAUUUGGGAUUUAAAGUUUCAGAGAAUCAUGACCAUGGCCAGGAGAAUGGCAGCAGGCAGGUAGGCCAUGGUACUGAAGCAGUAGCUGAGAGCUCACAUCGUGAGACACACCGAGAGAGAGAGAGAGAGAGAGAGAGAGAGAGAGAGAGAGAGAGAGAGAGAGAGCGCGAGCACACUGGCAACGGCAUGAAUCUUUUGAAACUGAAAGCCCACCCCAGUGACACACAUCUUCUAACAAGGCCACGUUUCCUAAUUCUUUCCAGACAAUUCCACCAAGUGGAGACCGAGUAUUCAAAUAUAUACUCAAACCAUAUAUAUAUAUUCUCAAACCAUCAGUCAUAAAGACCCUAAAAGAGGAAACAACUCUAGCUCUACAUGCAUUGUACUGUGGGGCUGGUAGGCUGUGCGACCAAGGGAGCCAGUCUGGAGCAAGAGUGAGGUUGAGAUGUGUCUAAUCCCCAAAAAUCUUGUCCUGAGAGCAGCAGGAGUAGGACUGCUUCCUUCCUGCCCUGGGCCUGCAUGUUCUAGAGCAUGUAGCCUUGUGAUCCUGAGGUAGUCAGGUAGCCUGGUGGUCAGAUACAGGUUAAACUUCCUUUCUCCUUAUAAGCCUAUGUCCAGCAAGCACCUGGAAUUCUUCUUGCAAAUGAAGCAUUCCUUGGCACACCAGGCUCCAGCCAAUGAUGUACACUCAUCCCCAAACCCCUACCCACCCCCUAAGGUUUAUACCCCCCAAUAAAGAGAGCUUCUUCCCUGAGAACUGUCCCUGGAGGAGGCUGUUUCUCCCGCACUCCACUGACUCAGAUCCUGCCGAACCCGCCUGUCCCAGCUAAGCUUCAUUCCCUCCAGCCCAGCCCUGGGUGCAAUGUGCUUGGGUGUCUCAUGGGGAGACGCAGACCCAGGGUGGCAUUGCACUGUACCAUUCUAUGCUAGGAACAGAGGUCACUGAAGUAAACACAGACAACAGAAAUCAGGGCUCCUGUCCUUAGGAAAUGGUCAGUGGUGACCAACAGACAUAGGAAGAGCCACCUCAAUGUGACAAAGGCUUUAAGUGAG
rnacentral:lncRNA from 1 species